CCUACGGGGGGCAGCAGUGGGGAAUAUUGCACAAUGGGCGCAAGCCUGAUGCAGCCAUGCCGCGUGUGUGAAGAAGGCCUUCGGGUUGUAAAGCACUUUCAGCGGGGAGGAAGGCGGUGAGGUUAAUAACCUCAUCGAUUGACGUUACCCGCAGAAGAAGCACCGGCUAACUCCGUGCCAGCAGCCGCGGUAAUACGGAGGGUGCAAGCGUUAAUCGGAAUUACUGGGCGUAAAGCGCACGCAGGCGGUCUGUCAAGUCGGAUGUGAAAUCCCCGGGCUCAACCUGGGAACUGCAUUCGAAACUGGCAGGCUAGAGUCUUGUAGAGGAGGGUAGAAUUCCAGGUGUAGCGGUGAAAUGCGUAGAGAUCUGGAGGAAUACCGGUGGCGAAGGCGGCCCCCUGGACAAAGACUGACGCUCAGGUGCGAAAGCGUGGGGAGCAAACAGGAUUAGAUACCCGAGUAGUC
rnacentral:rRNA from 1 species